AACGAACGCUGGCGGCAUGCCUAAUACAUGCAAGUCGAACGAGAUCUUCGGAUCUAGUGGCGCACGGGUGCGUAACGCGUGGGAAUCUGCCCUUGGGUUCGGAAUAACUUCUGGAAACGGAAGCUAAUACCGGAUGAUGACGUAAGUCCAAAGAUUUAUCGCCCAAGGAUGAGCCCGCGUAGGAUUAGCUAGUUGGUGGGGUAAAGGCCCACCAAGGCGACGAUCCUUAGCUGGUCUGAGAGGAUGAUCAGCCACACUGGGACUGAGACACGGCCCAGACUCCUACGGGAGGCAGCAGUAGGGAAUAUUGGACAAUGGGCGAAAGCCUGAUCCAGCAAUGCCGCGUGAGUGAUGAAGGCCUUAGGGUUGUAAAGCUCUUUUACCCGGGAUGAUAAUGACAGUACCGGGAGAAUAGGCGCCGGCUAACUCCGUG
rnacentral:rRNA from 1 species